rnacentral:rRNA from 1 species
UACGAAGGUGGCGAGCGUUGUUCGGAAUCACUGGGCGUAAAGCGCACGUAGGCGGCGGCGUAAGUUGGAUGUGAAAUCCCCCGGCCCAACCGGGGAACUGCGUCCAGUACUGCGUUGCUUGAGGAUCCAAGGGGUGCAUGGAAUUCCCGGUGGAGCGGUGAAAUGCGUUGAUAUCGGGAGGAACUCCGGCGGCGAAAGCGGUGCACUGGUGGAUUACUGACGCUGAGGUGCGAAAGCCAGGGGAGCAAACGGG